AGCAUAGGAGUUUUUAGGGCAUGGAGAGGCACAAACAUCCAGACAAGCAUUUACCUUCUGCUGAAAUUGUCUCAGUGUUUGCCUCUCCUAAUGGAAUAUGGGCCACAUGUACAGCAAGGGCUCAGCAAAUGCUUGCUGAACAAACAAGUUUGAGGCAGGUUUCUAACUCAGGUAGAUCGUUUCAUCCUCUUCAUCUCCCAGCAACCAAGAAAACCAGCCUAUUGCCAUGGGGGGGUCCUCCAACCCUGGCUAUUCUCCAAUGCUAAAGACUGACAGAUAAUCUCAAUUAGCAAAUUGACCCUUGUGGAUUUUCUGCACUCAUAGCAAAUGUCUUCAGGAAAACUGAAUUUCUCUCCAUACCUGGAUUAAUUUUCAGUAAUGGAAUGACUGGGUCAAAGGAGAUCAACAUUGCUGUGGCUCUUUCAGGUUCUCUUAAAUUCCAUGGAUUUUAACUUUGGCCCAUGACCUCCUUGACCUCUGGAAAUGUGACAUCCUGCACCUGCUGCAUCAGGGCUCUUCCCUGGUCUUGCCUACACUUGUGUCUACACAGGAUCACUUUGAUGCUUGUGUUGGAAAUAGAAAGACCAAGAGCAGAAACAUAUGGAGGCAGAACUAGUCUAUGGAAUAUUCUGCUAAUCAUCAGAUAUAUAAAAUUGAUUGAAGAUCAAAGUUUGAAGUUGACUUCUAGGCCCCAUCCUGGUACAUUCUGGAUGAAUUUUGGGGUUGGAAGAUGGAGGACCUAUACAUUUUGAGGGAAAUAAGAAGGAUAAUAGGAGUCAGUGAAGAAGUGGUCAGCACCAAAGGAGGAGAGCGUUUAAAGGAAAAGAGCUUGAUAAACCAGAGGGAUAGUCUGAGAGAGAAACUGAAGGUCAAAAUCAACGCAGUGGUGCCGAACAGAAGGGCCCGAGGUGCGAUGAGUAUAAUAUGAACACGAAGGAAAACAGCGAGUUCAGAAGCCUGGAGAAUCAGAAGCAGGUCAAGCGCUGGGGUUCAGGGCAAAGACCCUGAACACUGUGAAGGUGUUGGAGACCUGUUUUGAGGUGGCACUGCGGCUCAAUGUGAGUGCAGACCUGAGAGAUUAAAGUGCCUACGAAGGGCCAAAUACCUGUCCCUUCAUGACAU
ensembl:lncRNA LINC02548 long intergenic non-protein coding RNA 2548